UGAAGAAAUAACUAGUUUGUCAGACAGUAAAGGUCUUUAUUAAAUGCUGCACAGUGAAUAAGAUGUUGUGUUAAAACUGUAAAGGAUCUGUCUGAGCACUGUUACCUUUAAACAGAAGGAAGAAUUCCCUGGGCUAGACUGAAGAGGAUUUCUCCCCUUGGCCCCCUCACUUUAAGCACUGCUGCUUCUAUUGAUAUUUAGAUCAUACCAUUGCAGGAUUUCUCCCAGACCCAGUUUUUCCUACAAGGCACUGUUAUUCUGCAGACUGGUUUCUUUCUGGUUCUGAAGAGAAGAUUGCUUUGCAUACAUCAAACUUAUUGACGCCAGCAUUCCAAGCAUACAAGCGCUCAAGUUUUG